GACGAACGCUGGCGGCGUGCCUAAUACAUGCAAGUAGAACGCUGAAGAGAGGAGCUUGCUCUUCUUGGAUGAGUUGCGAACGGGUGAGUAACGCGUAGGUAACCUGCCUUGUAGCGGGGGAUAACUAUUGGAAACGAUAGCUAAUACCGCAUAACAAUGGAUGACACAUGUCAUUUAUUUGAAAGGGGCAAUUGCUCCACUACAAGAUGGACCUGCGUUGUAUUAGCUAGUAGGUGAGGUAAUGGCUCACCUAGGCGACGAUACAUAGCCGACCUGAGAGGGUGAUCGGCCACACUGGGACUGAGACACGGCCCAGACUCCUACGGGAGGCAGCAGUAGGGAAUCUUCGGCAAUGGGGGCAACCCUGACCGAGCAACGCCGCGUGAGUGAAGAAGGUUUUCGGAUCGUAAAGCUCUGUUGUAAGUCAAGAACGGGUGUGAGAGUGGAAAGUUCACACUGUG
rnacentral:rRNA from 1 species